CCCUAGCCCUGAUGGGAGGGAAAAUCCUUUUGUGGCGGGGUUCGGCACAAAAGAUUGGAAGGACAGCAGGAAAUAGC
rnacentral:sRNA from 3 species